rnacentral:lncRNA from 1 species
AUUAUACUUUGCAGAAAUUGAAAAAAAAAACUAUUAAAAGGACCGCAACUUGCUACCUUAAAGUUAAGAGGGGAGGGGAUGCCGAUCACCUAAUCAAUACAUAAAUUAUUGGCAACACUAUCAGUUACGCUAAGUAGUAUAUAGCGGUUAUCAAUUUUCUAUGAUCACGUUUUAAGGUCUGCAACAUUGACUCAAACAUUUUCGUUUUUCAUCACUUCAGUUUCUUGCAUUUUGCAUUGAAAGUGUUUGGGUUGGAUUUCUCCUCGCCGUCAGAAAGCUCAAUUCAAGGCUGCCUUAAAGGCCCGGCCAUUCCUACCUUGAAACAAUGGCCCGAAAGCCCGUGAGUUUUAUCCCUAUUAAAUAAUCUGUGUGAAAUUUAGCUUUAUCCCUAAAUUACUCCCAACUUUCAAAACCGAUGGACGUUAGAGAAAAUUUGUGGAAAAAUAAGAGAAAUGCUGAAAGUUUUAUUCAAUAAGGAAAACUACAAAAAAUUAAUUUGUACUUCAAGAUAUGUUAUAUACGAUACUUUUCUUAAGAAGUUAUUUGUCGUACCAAUUGAAUGAUGUAAAUGAGUUAGGUAAAUAGGCCUUCAAUUAUAGUGAAACUAGAAAAUAGAACCGCGUUUCACGCGACUUUAAAAAAAGAAUUUAGUAUUAUCAUUUUUUCUUACUUUACACUUGAUGAAACUGAUAAAAAAUAUGAAUUGAUUUUUUUUUUAAAAUGAGGCAGCCUUAUAAAAAAAAUAAAAAAAGCUAUUAGCCAGCAAUACAAAUAAAGAAGCAAUGCAAGAUAAAGAAUAAAAUGAGAGAAUAUAUUAUUAGAGAGAUUUUAUUCAUUCCAAUUGUGUGUGUACAAAACAAAAAAUGAGCUCUCCUUUUAUAGUUACAUAAUCACUCCAUGAAAUUAAUGAAAAUUUAUGGAUCAUAAUUCCUUGUGAGAUAGUGGGAGUUAUAGGGAAGCUAAAGGUUGUUAAUGGGAGAUAGUGGGGAGACUAAGAGAUAUAUGUUAUGAACAUCUACAUUUAUUUUAAUAAAUUCAUAACACUCCCCCUUGGAUGUUCAUUACAAAGAAUGUGCCUCAUUAAAACAUUUACAUAAUUGUUAUUGUGUAAUAACAAUUAAAUUAAUUAUGAGAAGAUGAAAAGCCAAAUCUAAAAGAAAAUUUCUCUAUUUAUUAGAUAAUAGAGAAUAUACAAAGAUGAGAAAUGGUGAUGCCACAUCACCUCCUCAAGUCUCAGCUUUAUAUAGAUACUAGGAAAUAAAACCACGCUUCGCGCGGCUUUAGAAAAUGAAUUUAAUAUUAUCAAUUUUUUUUUUACACUCGAUAAAACUGAUAAAAAAUAUAUAUUGAUUUUUUUUAAAAUGAAGCGGCCUUAUAAAACUAAUGUUAUUUAUGAAAGUUAACUACUGUUUUGUUAACGUUAAAAAUAUAUAUUAACGUGUAUAGUCUAAGUGUACAGACCUUAUACCUUUUGUAGUUGAUAAGUUCCAAAUUAAAUUUUGUAAUUGAGGAUCCUUAGCAAUGCGUUGAAUUAUAAAAGAAAUAAGUAAAAUACAUGUAAAGACUUUUACUAACUUGCACAACAUUGGAGAUGGUAGAAAAUCUUUCAAUUAAUGAUGCUACACAAUCUAUUUGAAGAUUUAUGUAGAUUUUGCUUGCACUUGUGGCAGAGAAAUUAACCUCACCUGUUUAGAGCAAAUGUAACCUAAAACGAAACUUGAACAGAAUCCAAAAUUGUGUAUAAUAUUAAAAUAGCCACAUUGCAUUUGAAAAUGUUAAUUAGUGGGAUCUAAAUAAAAUAAUCACCUUGGAAUUUUUUAAUGGUCGUAGAAGUUACUAUCACAAUACAAGGACCCUCGUCUUUUUUGUAUAAGUUUGGAUCAAACAUCUCCCCUAACUUUCCCCAUAAAGUAAUCUUUGUUGUUACCGAGCUAUCCAUAAAAAUUAACAAAAGUUAAUAAUGUAAAGAGAACCAAUAAUUAAAAAAUAACAUAAAUAACUAAAAAAUAUAAAGUCGUAGUUUUCUUGAUUAUAUUCAACUUACUAAUCCGUUAGAAUUUUUAUAUCUAUUUUUUUCCAACCAACUCCAACGAUCUCAAUAUCACCCACACCACAUAAACUUCCGAUAACAUCUGUAAUAUUAUGGAAAAAUAACAUAAACAUGUUAAAACAUAAGGAUUAAUAAUUUCUAAUAUACACUUAAAGAUUAACAAACAUUAAUAAUUAAAAAAAUACCUGAGAGGAUUGUGUUAUCAUUCACACGUAGAUCAAUCAAAUUCGGAGAUAUGAAUUAAAAUUCAUUAAUCGGAAUCUUGACAGUUCCUUCUUCUAAUCUCUUAAGAGAAGUUAUAACUAAGAAAAUAAUCUUAUACUGAUUUGAAAGUGGUCUGUACUCGCCUGUAGUUGAAACAACUUUCAAAUUCUUGACAUUGUACAAAGAACCCUCACUCAACAUGUGCUUAAACCUUGUCACUAAAGUUUUCCUGAUUGUUGCAUGCAUUAGAUUUUCCUACGAAAAAAAAAACACAUACUACAUUAAGUGUGAAACAAUUGGGAAAAAAAUUAGAGAAAACAAUGGGAGAAUGAAUUUUUUAUACAACCUUUUCAUCAAUAAAAAUCAUGUCAACACUAAUCAAUUCUCCAUUUUGAAAUGCAAGUAACGCAACCCAAGAGGGGGGUGAAUUGGGUUUUUAAAAUUAAUGCAAUACGAUUCGCACAAUAAAUCAAUCUAACGCCUUAAUGAAAUAGAGAACAAUAAAUUCAAGCAAGCGUAAAAAUAAAAGAGCAAGGGAAGAGAAAAACAAACACGCGGAUUUUUACGUGGUUCGGCAAUCCCCGCCUACGUCCACGCCUCCAAGCCAACCGAGCUUGAGGAUUUCACUAUCUAAACCUCCCAAGGCUUCAAGUUUUUACAAUUGACUUCCAAGGUGUCAAUGAACCUUUACAACCAAAAGAUUAUCUCCCCAAUCUCUUUACCCCAAGUGUUUCCCACACUUAAACACUCACAAUUUGGUAAGGAAUGAAAAUUACAACAAAAACUCUCUUUAAGAGUUGAUAUGCAACUAAUAACUCAACAAUGAUUCAAUCAAUAAUGAUUUGUGUUUUGGAAGCUCAAUAUAUGUUGUAUGAUCUUAUAUUUGCGUGUAUUGGUUCUUAAAAAGAAGUUUGAGUUGAGUUUUUAUAGUGGAAGCCCAAAAACUAGCCGUUAUAGGCAAAUUCCAGCGCUCAAGCGGUUAGCCGUUUGAUUUAUCCGGCUAGCCGCUCAGGAACAGUAAUACUACCGUUAUUUUUUGAAUUUGCUACAGUAACACUGUUCAUUGAAAUUACACUUUGGCCCAAAACUUUCUAUAAUUAUAUUAUGGCCCAAAACGUCAGAAAACUUUGCAAAUAGAUCCAAUUUCAGAACUUCUCAAAAAUAGUUGUAUUUCCCAAACUUUUUAAAAUUAUGAUAUGGCCCCAAUGAUUUUAUUGUUUCGCACAAAGGUCCUUUUCAACAUAAUACCCAUAUUUUUCAAAGUUCUCAAAAUCUUUCACUUUAGUUCAAAAUAUUCAUAAAUUAUAGUAUGGCCCAAAAUAUUUAAAAUGUUUGUAAAAACAUCCAACUCCGAAAUUUGAUACUUAUUAAAAUCAAAGAUUUCAAAUCUUAGCAUUUAAGUCCAAUUUACUCAAAUCCACAAAAUACUUUACUUUAUAAAAAUAAAAUAUUUUAGUUUAUGAAAAGUAUUUAAUUAAAUUAAUCUCUUGAGCUUCUCAAAUGCUAAAUCAUGCAUCAAUUAAAUCAUACCGGCUUUACAAGAAUUUGUCGCAAUAAUUCGUCCGUUGAGCUCUAAGCUUUAUUCUUGAUUUCGCCGUUGUCCGUUGAGUGUCUUCAAUCUUGAUUUCACUUGAUUCACUAGCAUAAAUAUUAUCCUUCAAAAACUAGUGUAAAUGUGAAAUACAAUAUUUAUUAUUUUUACUUAAGACACAUGUUUGUUAUCAUCAAAAUUACAUUAUGUGUAGCCAUUUAGGCUAACACAUUUUUUUUAGUAUUAGUAGACUCCCAUAUCCUACAAAGUCUAACCCUUAUCAUCCAACUAUCUUUAUCAUUGUUCAACUAAUGAAGAAAAGAGUACUCCAUGAAGCACACAAUACCAAAAAUUCAAAUAAAUCAAACAAUAAAAAUACAAGUAUUUUUCUAAAGAGGGUGUUGAUUAAAUAAAUUAAAAAAAAAACUAAACAUAACAAAUCUUAAAUAUUUAGUGUUUAGAGAGCUUGAAGAAGCCAAAAGGCACUAAACAAAAGGUUGCAUAAUUAAAUAUGAGAUUAUGACAUUAAAAUUAGGCUCUAGUGGCAUUGUUGAGGGAAGAUGAAAGAACCUCUCUUCCUAUGUUAAUUUGUUGAUGUAUUUUAAGUUACUAAAGUUUAAUUGCUAGCAUAAUAAAAUUUGAAGGAGCCAAAAGACACUCAACAAAAGGUUGCAUAAUUAAAUAUAUGAUUAUGACAUUGAAAUUAGGCCCUAGUGGCAUUGUUGAGGGAAGAUGAAAGAACCUCUCUUCCUAUGUUAAUUAAUUCAUGUAUUUUAAGCCACUAAAGUUUAAUUGCUAGCAUAAUAAAAUAAAUGAAUGCUUCAAAAGACUUAUAAUUAAUUAUUAUUAAUGGUUACAUAUUGUUAGAUUUAAAUAGAAAGAGGAAGAAACAUGUACAAAGAAUAUCCACCAAUAUUUUAGAUAUUUUAGAUAAUAGAAAAUAUAAAAAGAUGAGGUUGAGGGAAGAUGAAAGAACCUCUCUUACUAUGUUAAUUAGUUGAUGUAUUUUAAGGCACUAAAGUUUAGUUGAUAGCAUAAUAAAAUUUGAAGAAGCUAAAAGGCACUCAACAAAAGGUUGGAUAAUUAAAUAUGAGAUUAUGGAAUUAAAAUUAGGCCCUAGUGGCAUUGUUGAGGGAAGAUGAAAGAACCUCUCUUCCUAUGUUAAUUAAUUGAUGUAUUUUAAACUACUAAAGUUUAAUUGCUAGCAAAAUAAAAUAAAUGAAUGUUUCAAAAGACUUAUAAUUAAUUAUUAUUAAUGGUUACAUAUUGUUGGAUUUAAAUAGAAAGAGGAAGAAAUAUGUACAAAGAAUAUCCACCAUUCUUCCUAUGUUAAUUAGGUGAUGUAUUUUAAGGCACUAAAGUUUAAUUGAUAGCAUAAUAAAUUUUGAAAAAGCCAAAAGACAAUAAAAAAAGGUUGCAUAAUUAAAUAUGAGAUUAUGGCAUUAAAAUUAGGGCUUAGUGGCAUUGUUGAGAGAAAAUGAAAGAACCUCUCUUCCUAUGUUAAUUAAUUCAUGUAUUUUAAACCACUAAAGUUUAAUUGCUAGCAUAAUAAAAUAAAUAAAUAUUUCAAAAGACUUAUAAUUAAUUAUUAUUAAUGAUUACAUAUUGUUGAAUUUAAAUAGAAAGAGAAAAAAAGUACAAAGAAUAUCCACCAAUAUUUUAGAUAUUUUAGAUAAUGGAAAAUAUAAAAAGAUGAGAAGAUGAAAAAUUAAUCACUCAAUUGAAUUAAUGAAAAAUUAUGGAUCAUAAUUCCUUGUGAGAUAGUAGGAGUUAUAGGGAAGCUAAAGGUUACUAAUGGGAGAUAGUGAAGAGACUAAGAGAUAUAUGUUAUGAACAUCUACAUUUAUUUUAAUAAAUUCAUAACACUCCCCCUUGGAUGUUCAUUACAAAGAAUAUGCUUCAUUAAAAUCUUUACAUAAUUGUUAUUGUGUAAUAACAAUCAAAUUAAAUAUGAGAAGAUGAAAAGCCAAAUCUAAAAGAAAUUUUAUUUAUUUAUUAGAUAAUAGAGAAUAUACAAAGAUGAGAAAUAGUGAUGCCACAUCACCUCCUCAAGUCCCAGCUUUAUAUAGAUAUAUAGAUAUAAUUCAUGUAUUUUAAGCCACUGAAGUUUAAUUGCUAGCAUAAUAAAAUAAAUAAAUGUUUCAAAAGACCUAAAAUAUUGUUGAAUUUAAAUAGAAAGAGAAAAAAAGUACAAAGAAUAUCCACCAAUAUUUUAGAUAUUUUAGAUAAUAGAAAAUAUAAAAAGAUGAGGAAUGAUAUAUAUUAAUAAAGUUACUAUUUAUUAAAUGAGUUAAAUAGAAUCAAAUUAAUUAUGAGAAGAUGAAAAGCCAAAUCUAAAAAAUAAUUCUCUAUUUAUUAGAUAAUAGAGAAUAUACAAAGAAGCAAAAUGGUGAUGCCACAUCACCUUCUCAAGUCCUAACUUUAUAAAUGAAAGAACCUCUCUUCCUAUGUUAAUUAAUUCAUGUAUUUUAAGCCACUAAAGUUUAAUUGCUAGCAUAAUAAAAUAAAUAAAUGUUUCAAAAGACUUAUAAUUAAUGAUUACAUAUUGUUGAAUUUAAAUAAAAAGAGAAAAAAAAAGUACAAAGAAUAUCCACCGAUAUUUUAGAUAAUAGAAAAUAUAAAAAGAUGAGGAAUGAUAUAUAUUAAUAAAGUUACUAUUUAUUAAAUGAGUUAAAUAGAAUCAAAUUAAUUAUGAGAAGAUGAAAAACCAAAUCUAAAAAAAAAUUCUCUAUUUAUUAGAUAAUAGAGAAUAUACAAAGAAGCAAAAUGGUGAUGCCACAUCACCUCCUCAAGUCCUAACUUUAUAUAUAUAUAUAGAUAUAGAUAUAGAUAUAAUUAAUGUAUUUUAAGCCACUAAAGUUUAAUUGCUAGCAUAAUAAAAUAAAUCAAUGUUUCAAAAGACUUAUAAUUAAUUAUUAUUAAUGAUUACAUAUUGUUGAAUUUAAAUAGAAAGAGAAAAAAAACUACAAAGAAUAUCCAUCGAUAUUUUAGAUAUUUUAGAUAAUAGAAAAUAUCUAAAGAUGAGGAAUGAUAUAUAUUAAUAAAGUUACUAUUUAUUAAAUGAGUUAAAUACAAUUAAAUUAAUUAUGAGAAGAUGAAAAGCCAAAUCUAAAAAAUAAUUCUCUAUUUAUUAGAUAAUAGAGAAUAUACAAAGAAGCAAAAUGGUGAUGUCACAUCACCUCCUCAAGUCCUAGCUUUAUAAAUGAAAGAACCUCUCUUCCUAUGUUAAUUAAUUCAUGUAUUUUAAGCCACUAAAGUUUAAUUGCUAGCAUAAUAAAAUAAAUAAAUGUUUCAAAAGGCUUAUAAUUAAUGAUUACAUAUUGUUGAAUUUAAAUAGAAAGAGAAAAAGAAGUACAAAGAAUAUCCACCAAUAUUUUAGAUAUUUUAGAUAAUAG